UGACUCGUUAGCUCAGCUGGUAGAGCAUCUGACUUUUAAUCAGAGGGCCACUGGUUCGAGCCCAGUACGGGUCAU
rnacentral:tRNA from 1 species